GGAGGGAUGGCCGAGUGGUUAAAGGCAGCAGACUGUAAAUCUGCCCGCGAAUGCGUACGCAGGUUCGAACCCUGCUCCCUCCACCA
rnacentral:tRNA from 4 species